GACAGAGGGGGCAAGCGUUGCUCGGAAUCACUGGGCGUAAAGGGCGCGUAGGCGGGAUGGCAAGUCAGUCGUGAAAUCUCUCGGCUCAACCGAGAAACGUCGGCUGAUACUGCCGUUCUUGAGGGAUGCAGAGGAGACUGGAAUUCCCGGUGUAGCGGUGAAAUGUGUAGAGAUCGGGAGGAACACCGGUGGCGAAGGCGGCGAUCUGGACAGUGACUGACACUCAACUACGAAAGCGUGGGGAGCAAACAGG
rnacentral:rRNA from 1 species